GACGAACGCUGGCGGCGUGCUUAACACAUGCCAGUCGAACGGAAAGGCCCUGCUUGCAGGGUACUCGAGUGGCGAACGGGUGAGUAACACGUGGGUGAUCUGCCCUGCACUUCGGGAUAAGCCUGGGAAACUGGGUCUAAUACCGGAUAGGAGCCAUUUUUAGUGUGAUGGUUGGAAAGUUUUUUCGGUGUAGGAUGAGCUCGCGGCCUAUCAGCUUGUUGGUGGGGUAAUGGCCUACCAAGGCGGCGACGGGUAGCCGGCCUGAGAGGGUGGACGGCCAAAGUGGGACUGAGAUAAGGCCCAGACUCCUACGGGGGGCAGCAGUGGGGAAUAUUGCACAAUGGGCGCAAGCCUGAUGCAGCGACGCCGCGGGGGGGAGGACGGCCUUCGGGUUGUAAACUCCUUUCGCUAGGGACGAAGCUUUUUGUGACGGUACCUAGAUAAGAAGCACCGGCUAACUACGUG
rnacentral:rRNA from 1 species